UUUUCUUCAGAAUUCCAGGUACAAUAGAUUCUUCUCCCGCUGACAGUGCAUCACAGAACAUCCCAGUGGUGAUGGCUGCUCAGCUGCCUUUGGCUCAUUGCAGAAGUGACGAGCUAUUCAUGCAAGAUACAUGUCUCUGGGAAGACUGGUGGCUACAGACCCACAGCCAAUAUGUUCAGAACGGCACCAAGAGGCGAGUGAUGGAGGCUUUUCUGGGUGCCUUUGUCCUAUCCCAAUCAUGGGGGCAGC